GUCCUUUUGGGGACAUCUGAUAAUAUUGAAACGAUACAGAGAAGAUUAGCAUAGCACCUGCGUAAGAAUAAUAUGCACAAAUCGAGAAAUGAUCCAAAUUAAA
rnacentral:snRNA from 1 species